GGACAGCACGUGUGCAUCCAAUUUGUGCACUGUGCCAUGCAACACCAUCUUUGGAUCUCAGCACCAAAUGGAUGUUGCCCUGUUGGAGAAAC